rnacentral:rRNA from 1 species
GAUGAACGCUAGCUACAGGCUUAACACAUGCAAGUCGAGGGGCAGCAUGGUCGAAGCUUGCUUCGACUGAUGGCGACCGGCGCACGGGUGCGUAACGCGUAUCGAACCUGCCCUAUACACGGGGAUAGCCCUUGCGAAAGUAAGAUUAAUACCCGAUGCCAAAUUGAGAUCGCAUGAUUUUGAUUUGAAAGAAAUUCGGUAUAGGAUGGCGAUGCGUCUGAUUAGGUAGAUGGCGGGGUAACGGCCCACCAAGGCGACGAUCGGUAGGGGUUCUGAGAGGAAGGUCCCCCCANAUUGGAACUGAGACACGGUCCAAACUCCUACGGGAGGCAGCAGUGAGGAAUCUUCCGCAAUGGACGAAAGUCUGACGGAGCAACGCCGCGUGAACGAUGAC